rnacentral:snRNA from 1 species
GGGUGAUCCGACUGAGACAUCUGUCACCCCAUUGCCAGGGCUCAUCUGGCUGGCCUGGCUGGCUACGCAGGUGUCCCCCUGUUUCAUGUGUGUCCCUCCCUAAGCUGCAUGUUCAGUGGAAGAAGACGAUCAUCCCAGGUAGAAAGAGUGUACCGUUCUUCGGUCAAGGCUUGAUGAUAGCUGCGCUCCCUGUAUAGAUAGAACCUCCCUGAUAGCACCUCCUCUGUAAUGCAGGAAUCUCAGCUAAAUAAUUUCAGCUACAUAGUUUGUGAGA